AACGAACGCUGGCGGCGUGCCUAACACAUGCAAGUCGUGCGAGAAAGUUCCUUCGGGAGCGAGUAAAGCGGCGCACGGGUGAGUAACACGUAGGUAACCUGCCCCCCAGUCUGGAACAACUAGAGGAAACUCUAGCUAAUGCCGGAUGAGACCACGAUCCCUUCGGGGGUUGCGGCCAAAGAUGGCCUCUACUUGUAAGCUAUCGCUGAGGGAUGGGCCUGCGGGCCAUUAGCUUGUUGGUGAGGUAACGGCUCACCAAGGCUGUGAUGGCUAGCUGGUCUGAGAGGAUGACCAGCCACACUGGGACUGAGACACGGCCCAGGCUCCUACGGGAGGCAGCAGUGGGGAAUAUUGCGCAAUGGGCGAAAGCCUGACGCAGCGACGCCGCGUGGGUGAUGAGGGCC
rnacentral:rRNA from 1 species